CUUUGCACAGUUGUAGUACUGCAACCAGUGAGGUUUAUUCAAGGCAUGAUUACUGCUAAUUGGGAA
rnacentral:snRNA from 1 species